AUGCCAGAGAAGGCAGGACAGACAAGGGGUGGACGAGUAAGCACAUGUGAAAUGUUGCAAAGUUAAGACAACAGCAAGCCGAAUUACGACAUCACGGUUACUCGUCGGCCACCAGCAGGAGGCGCGAGCGCUCCUUUUUUGUUUAAAUGGCGUACCAAUUCAAGCAACAUACGCGAUACGGUGAAGGUCACAUGACUACAGACAUGAACAUCUGCCACCAUGGAGGGCACAUGACCACGCAAGACAUGGACGUGUGUAAAGAAAAAACAAUCAGGGAUUUGGGGGACAUGUUUAAUUUGUCACGUGACUAAUUGGCAGUGGUCAGAAGUGCGCAUCAGACGGCUUUGCCCAGGAUGAGGACGCUCAUGAUAAAGACCAUGAUAAAGAAGAGCCACAUGAAGAAUCGAUCCAUGACCUUGGCCAGCUUCCUCCAUUCCCCAACGCGCACCUGCGCGAUGCGUUGGUCCUGGUAGGCGCUGGCGAUGUACUCCACGUUGCUGCGCAGUCCUCGCUGAUGUUGACACACGCCGCACGCCUCCUUCCCGCUCUCCGCCACACCUCCCGACCGCUCGCCAUCGCCGCUGUCUGCGCUCUCCUCCAGGACGACGAAGGUGUCAUCUUUCUGCACGCUCCUGUCGCACCCACGCGCCUCCCCGUUGGACUUGUUGCCGUCGGAUUCCUCCCGCGGGUUCUCGUCCGCCUCCCCCGCCUCGUGCACGAAACACACGCGGGCCAAAUAUUUGAGGAUGAAGCGUUCGGCCCAAGCCGGCACGGGGCGUCCUUCGGGGCCGCAGUGGUGGAUGUUCAUGAUGAAAAUGGUGAGCGCCGUCGACGCCGUCACCAUCAGCAUGGUGGCGAUGUAGUACUUUCCUGCCACAUUAAACACGACGAGAUGGCGUGAGCCCUUGCAGCGGGCGGCAAAGCGUUUCGGGCGGACUCACCGAUGAGCGGGACGCUCUCGGACGGCGGCAUGCUUUCGGCCACCAGCAGCUGGAAGACGGUGAGCGCCAGCAGGACGGUGACCCCCAGCGAGACCUUCUCUCCGGAGUCGGCCGGCAGAUAGAAGCCCAGCGGGGCCAGGAAGGAGAUCAUCAUGCAAGGAAGGAGCAGGUUGAAGAUGUAGAAGGAGGACCUCCGCUUCAGGUGCAAGUUUCACAGAACCAGGCUUACCUCCCACUCCACGUUGGGGAUGAAGUCGGCCAGGUCGGCGCUGUCCAAGGCAUUGAACAAGUCCAUCUGGUUGCCGUUGUGAGUCCAGGAGCCGAACGUGAGAUGACACUCUUGCACGUCGAAGGGGAAGAAGGCCACAUCUACCGAACAUGAGCUCUUGGUGAUGGCCGGCUGGUCCCACAUCACCUGACCGUCGUGCCUCAGAACCACGUUGGUCUCCAUGGAGCUGGAGAACUCGUCAUCGGCGCUGCGGUAGAAAAGAACGCCUCGACGAGUCAGUGCAUUUUGCAGAAUUGCAAGCAGCCUAAAAAGUGCUGGAGCAGAGGCUCUUCUUCUGCAAUCUUCUUCAUCAAGCGCAGCCUCCCUUGGCUCUCUGCAACAACUCAUCCAACUGACCUGUUGUACAGGACGAUAUCGGGCCGCCACACGUAGCUGCUCGGGAUGCGGAUGGUGUCCAGCCCGUCGUAGUCGUCCUUCUUCCACGCCAGGAAGGCGUCCAUCCACACCUGCCGUACCCACAGGGUCCAAAUUUUACAUUGUUGGAAAAAAAAAGUGUGUGGAGCUUGUGGAGCUUGUGUAGCCCAGAUGCGACACCUCGUUCCUCCAGGACAACCUCGAAGGUGAGUGGGAGUUAAUUGAGCAGGAAGAUGCUCGGGUGGGCGGGGCCUAAAAGAAACUGCACGCAUGUCAUAGAUCAGUGCUUCUCAAAUAGUGGGGCGCGCCAAUCCAUGGUCUUCAGAUGCCACGCUGUCGCCAUCUCCUGGUCAGCUAGUGAAAUGCUUUUGCUGUUUUUUUUCCCUCUCAAUUAUAACAAAUCAAUCAGCCAGUUGGUUUUCUAUAUUUAAUAUCUGAUAUCAGACAAAACCAAAUUGUGAAUCAGUCACCUAGGCUAUAGCAGAACAAACAAUCCAUGGUCUUCAGAUGCCACGCUGUCGCCAUCUCCUGGUCAGCUAGUGAAAUGCUUUUGCUGUUUUUUUUUCCUCUCAAUUAAAACAAAUCAAUCAGCCAGUUGGUUUUCUUUAUUUAAUAUCUGAUAUCAGACAAAACCAAAUUGUGAAUCAGUCACCUAGGCCAGUGCUUCUCAAAUAGUGGGGCGCGCCACCCUUGGGGGGCCAAUGCUAUUCCUGGGGGGGGCGCGUGUGACCCUGGGGAACAGGCUUUUUUUUUUGGCAGUACUAGAAUAAAGUGUAAUUGCGCGUUUACUACAGCAGGGGGCAGUGGCGCUCUCAUUGUUACUUCUGUCACGUUUGCGACAGUGCAACAUUUUACGACUUACAAGACAAGUUAGGAUAGUCACGGUGGGGAGGGGGGGCGCGAAUAGUUUUCUUCUUGCUAGGGGGGGGCGUAACAGAAAAUAAUUGAGAAGCACUGGGUUAAAUAAAGGUUAACUUAAAAAAAAAAAAAAAAAAAAAAGUGAACCCUGAACUUUGAACCCGCGGUGACCCCGCGGUGACCCCGUGGUGACCCCAUGAACCCGCGUUGACCCCUGGGUGACCCCGUGGUGACCCCUGGGUGACCUUUGAACCCUGAACUUUCAACUCUAGUUAAAAAUCGAAAAUGUGCACAUGACCCCGUGAACUUUGAACCGACCUUUGACCCCUGGGUGAACUUUGAACCGUAAACUUUGACCUUUGACCCCUAGCUAAUUACGUUUUUGUUUUGUUUUUUUAAACCGGCAUAGCAGAACGAUCCAUGGUCUUCAGAUGCCGCGCUGUCGCCAUCUCCUGGUCAGUUAGUGAAAUGCUUUUGCUGAUGUUUUUUUUUCUCUCAAUUAAAACAAAUCAAUUAGCCAGUUGGUUUUCUUUAUUUAAUAUCUAUUAUCAGACAAAACCAAAUUGUGAAUCAGUCACCUAGGCUAUAGCAGAACAAACAAUCCAUGGUCUUCAGAUGCCACGCUGUCGCCAUCUCCUGGUCAGCUAGUGAAAUGCUUUUGCUGUUUUUUUUCCCUCUCAAUUAAAACAAAUCAAUCAGCCAGUUGGUUUUCUUUAUUUAAUAUCUGAUAUCAGACAAAACCAAAUUGUAAAUCAGUCACCUAGGCUAUAGCAGAACAAACAAUCCAUGGUCUUCAGAUGCCACGCUGUCGCCAUCUCCUGGUCAGCUAGUGAAAUGCUUUUGCUGUUUUUUUUCCCUCUCAAUUAAAACAAAUCAAU